rnacentral:lncRNA from 1 species
GUUCUAUUUGUACUUCUACUGUAAAUAAAAUCUUUUCCUACUAAAUAUUUUGAUAAGUAUAGUUUUUAGAUAGUAGGUGAACUUUUUAUGUUUCUGAAUUUUUCUGUUGAUUUUUUAUUAUUAAUAUUUGCUUUUUUUCUGGUUAUGCAAUUAUUAUGCUAUUCCUUUGUAAAGCUGUAUGAAAAAUAUUUAGAUUAGAUAUCUUCCCCAACUCUUCUAGCAUUUCUGUUUUGUAUUUUUUAAUUUUAUGACAAUAAUGUAUAUUGUCCUAAUAAAGAUUGAUAGUGAGCAUUUCAGACUUCCAAUUCUUCCAACUUAUAACCUUGGGGUUCAUACCAAAGGUCAUAAAUCAGAGCAAUUUAAUAACUCUGAUGAAAUCAGACUAUCUCUACUUAUACAUUUAGUUGAUAAGCUUCUACUAUUGCAGUUGUUGAUAUUAAAACAUUUCCAUGAUUUACAUUUUCUAUGCUUUUGACAGUUAUAUGUAUUCUUUUGUCGCACAAUUUUUUUGUUGCUUAUCAAAGAAACCAAAAUUUCACUUGCAUAUUUACUUUACGUAAUAAAAUCUUUUUCUGAUAUCUGGAGGCACGGCUGUACUAUCCUUUUCUGGAAGCAACACCUCCAUAUCUUUGUAUUGGAGUUGCCCAAGAACUUGAAAUUUUUUUUAUCUAGAG